rnacentral:rRNA from 1 species
AUCCCGAAUUCUAAAGGGCUAUAAUAUUUGUUGUCAUAAACAUUGUUAAUAUGUAAUGAAACGUUAAUAUAUCUGGUUUUUUUAGAUAUUUAAAAUUUCUUACUUAGUGGGGGAUAAGCUGCACUUAGGAUUAGAAGUUUUGUUAUAAUUAAUUUAUAAAAAAGAAUACUAUAAUUUUUUUUGUUAAUAUGAUGCAAUUAGUAAAAGAUUAGGCUAAGGAACUCGGCAAUAGUUUCUCACCUGUUUAUUAAAAACAUGGCCUUUUGAUUUUAAUUUAAGGUCUAGCCUGCCCGCUGAGGCCGCGGUAAUUUGACCGUGCGAAGGUAGCAUAAUAAUUAGUUUUUUAAUUGUGAGCUGGAAUGAAUGGUUGGAUGAGGAAACUUCUGUCUCAGCCUAAUUGAAUUUUAUUUUUGAGUUAAAAAGCUCAAAUUUUGUUGAAAGACGAGAAGACCCUAUAGAGUUUGACUUUAGUUGGGGCGAUUGAAAAAUUUGUUAAACUUUUGAUUAUAAGAUACAAUUACCUUAGGGAUAACAGCGUAAUUUUCUUUAGAGUUCUGAUUUAAAUGAAAGUUUGCGACCUCGAUGUUGGAUUAAAAUUAAUCUUGGUGUAGAAGCU